rnacentral:rRNA from 1 species
CAGCAGCCACGGUAAUACGUAGGGUGCAAGCGUUAAUCGGAAUUACGGGGCGUAAAGCGUGCGCAGGCGGUUUGUUAAGACAGAUGUGAAAUCCCCGGGCUCAACCUGGGAACUGCAUUUGUGACUGGCAAGCUAGAGUCUGGCAGAGGGGGGUGGAAUUCCGCGUGUAGCAGUGAAAUGCGUAGAUAUGCGGAGGAACACCGAUGGCGAAGGCAGCCCCCUGGGCCAACACUGACGCUCAUGCACGAAAGCGUGGGGAGCAAACAGGAUUAGAUACCCCAGUAGUCCCUGUCUCUUAUAC